GUCUAUGGCCACGCUACCCUGAACAAGCCCGAUCCCAUCUGAUAUCGGAAGCUAAGCAGGGUUGUGCCUCAUUAGUACUUGGAUGGGAGACCACCUAGGAAGACAAGGUGCUGUUGGCG
rnacentral:rRNA from 1 species